rnacentral:rRNA from 1 species
GACGGAGGAUGCAAGUGUUAUCCGGAAUCACUGGGCGUAAAGCGUCUGUAGGUGGUUUAAUAAGUCAACUGUUAAAUCUUGAGGCUCAACCUCAAAAUCGCAGUCGAAACUAUUAGGCUAGAGUAUAGUAGGGGUAAAGGGAAUUUCCAGUGGAGCGGUGAAAUGCGUAGAGAUCCGAAAGAACACCGGUGGCGAAGGCGGCCUGCUGGGCAGUUGCUGACGCUGAGGCGCGACAGCGUGGGGAGCAAACAGG